UACGGAGGGUGCGAGCGUUGUCCGGAAUCACUGGGCGUAAAGGGCGCGUAGGCGGCGCGGGCAGUCAACGGUGAAAGCUUGGGGCUCAACCCCGAGUCGGCCGUCGAUACUCCCGGGCUGGAGCACUGUAGAGGCAGGUGGAAUUCCGGGUGUAGCGGUGGAAUGCGUAGAGAUCCGGAAGAACACCGGUGGCGAAGGCGGCCUGCUGGGCAGUAGCUGACGCUGAGGAGCGAAAGCAUGGGGAGCGAACAGG
rnacentral:rRNA from 1 species